GGUGUGCCUGGGGGAUGGUGGGAAUGGAGAAAGGUAAGGAGAGAGAGAGAGAGAGAGAGAGAGAGAGAGAGAGAGAGAGAGAGAGAGAGAGAGAGAGAGAGAGAGACGGGAAGGGUGGAUGGGUCGGGAGAGACAGGGCGAAAGGUACUGAAGGAUAGAGAGACGUAGGACGACGAGGAGACUGGAAAGGUGUAGGAGUCAUGAGAUAAAGAGAAAAGAGUAAAGGUACAUCGUGAUGCUGACGAGAGAGAGAGAGAGAGAGAGAGAGAGAGAGAGAGAGAGAGAGAGAGAGAGAGAGAGAGAGAGAGAGAGAAUAGACUGGAAAGGAGAAAGGAAGAGGAGGGACGUGUGGGAGGUUGGAACAGCAGAAGGAUGGAUAAGGAGAGACAAGCCAGUGUGCAUUAACUGCGCACGUCACUAUGCAGGAAUCAGCAGGGACAGGAUGUGUGCUUGUAGGCAAGGCAGCCAGGCCCGGCGAACGUGAACACCUACAUGUGCGUCAUCCUCUCUCUCUCUGUGUGUGUGUGUGUGUGUGUGUGUGUGUGUGUGUGUGUUACGUCAGAGGCAGCUGCUGUACCACUCCCUUUCCUUUCUCUGUAUCCACAUGUCACAGAUUUCCUAAGCUGGUGGCUGCAUGUUAGGCUGAGUGGGUGGUGGUUGCGGCGGCAGGGAGAAGACAGAGGGGGAGUGAGGCAGAGUGAGGGACGCGGCGGCCGUGGCUGGGUUGAACAAACGCGGAGGAGUUGUGUGUGUGGCGAGGCACGGCAGGUGUGCUGGUGGGGCCUAUUGAUUGUUGGUGGAACGUGGAGUGCGGGGCUGCUGCUGCUGCUGCUGCUGCUCCAGGUGGAAUGUGACUCGCCUGGCCUGCCACACCGACGCUCUGCUGCCACCACCAUCACCAACGCCACCAUCACAACCGCUGUUGCUAUUGGAGCAGCAACUCGUAAUGCCAACUCCGCCACCACCACCACCACCACUGUUCUGUUUCUAAGCCGUCAUGUAACGUCAUUGAGAUUCACACACACACACACACACACACACACACACACACACACACGGUAAUAGUUACAUGAAAUUAGCACAGACUCUCCCACGCCCGGCAAAAUCGUGUGUGUGUGUGUGUGUGUGUGUGUGUGUGUGUGUGUGUGUGUGUGUGUUCUGGUUUCCCUGUGCGGGUAUAAGUGUUGCUUUCUGUGAUGUUCAGCUCCGAUAUCAGGUUAAAUUUAUACACAAAGGUAUUGUGUGUGUGUGUGUGUGUGUGUGUGUGUGUGUGUGUGUGUGUGUGUGUGUGUGUGUGUGUGUGUUUCUUAUCAUAUUAGAUUUUUACAAGAUAAGGUCGGAGUCACUAGCCACAAUAUUCUGUCUGCAAAUACUUGUGAAUUACACGCUUCUCUAAAUUCACGGAGGGAUAUUUCUGGCACGCACAAUUUCCCCUAGUAACUGCUGUGUGUGUGUGUGUGUGUGUGUGUGUGUGUGUGUGUGUGUGUGUGUGUGCGCGCUGCACGUAGGUAUGCCGCCGUGAUUUCAGCUCUUGAAUGUUCCUCUGUGAUCGAUUUGUUUACUGUCGCAGUGUGUGAAGGACGAGUCGGGAGGGAGGGAGAGGGUAGUGGGUGGGUGGGUGAGUGGGUGUUCCGUGUGAGAAGGGAGAGCGUGUGAGAGAAGCAGAGGUGAGGAGUGAGAGAGAGGAAGGGAGGGAGGGAGGGAGGGGCAGGUAGAGGCAGAUCCACAUACACUUGUCGUCCUAAUAUGGAAGUUGAUAAAACGAGGCUUGCAUUCUCAUUGUUCAUGCUCGUGGCUGGCAAGGUGGCGGUGGUGGUGGAGGUGGUGGGGUGUUUGGGACCGCGCCGUGCACACAUCAGCAUUGCGAGACCUGGCAACCGUAGCAUGGGUAAGGUGGAGUCGCUGCCGCCACCAGCUCGCUACCGCCGCUCCGUUACACUUGGUAACCUUCGCGCUGAGGGAAAGGUGUGCCGCCCCGGUGCUCCAUCCUGACACCGGCCGCGUUUCGCUGUGUCGUUGUGUCUCGCCGCGAACUGACGGGGAUCUGUGCCUGCACACUGGAAAUACCGUAAAUGUAGUUUGAAACCAGAGAGGAGAUCAGUAAGAGGGAAGACACGAGAUAUUCUGCAGAAACAUUGCUGUGUACCGUGAGUGAACCAGAAUGACUGGGAGGUGUUGGUGAGGCGACGGACCAGGAUCAGCGGGCCAUCGUGACAGGCGCCACUCGUGUUACUUUUGUGUGUGGGGAAGAACAGUAUAGUGUGUGGGCAAAGGACAUUACUGUUGAAGAAUAAAAAAUGUUGCAGUAACGAGUUGAGAUGUGGUGUGAUUUUAUCAAUAAAGUAAAUAUUUGCAGAAAGCAUUUGUUAAUUCCCACUCCUUGGAAUUGAGCAUGCCCUUCAGAUGAAGAGAAGCCUGGUGUGGUAAUGGGGCAACAUACGCAAGCAGAUGCGGGUGGUGUGGUCACAAGGUAACGUAAGGAACCUGAUGGUGAGACUCGUGUAGAUGGUAAUGAGGUGGUGUGGCUGGUGUGGUAAUGAGGUGAAAGGAGGAAGCUGUGGCUUUGCCUGGGCAGUAGCAGACAAGCCAUUAAAUAAAUAGCCAGCCAGAGUACCGGUCAUGUUAGCGGCGGUGAGUACAUCUGCAGGUGUUGAGGUGCCUCGUCUCGUCUGCACCAGGAGGCUCGGCACACACUGGCCAGGAUUUAUUUUUUUUUUUUUUAAUAAUGAUGAUACUGGUAUGAUGGAAACACGUUUGAAAUGUGGUUACUUACAUAAGAAUAUGUUAAGAGUAGUUGAGAUAGGACGCGAGAAGUACGAGAACACGAGAGGAGUGAUGUGUCGUGCAUUGCGUGUAUUAAAUAAUGAUGGUGAAAAUAAAGCAACAUCGUAAACACACUCCUUAGGCAACGCUCAGCACUGUGAAAUUUGCAUAUGUUGUGCAUGAUGAAAAUAUUAGUCGAAAAAAGUGAGCCAAGAAAAAUAGAUGUCAAAGGAAAACGGGUCACAAUUUUUUUUGUUUCAGGACAAAAUGGCAAUUAAGAGUAAUGUUAUGUCGCGGUACUAGUUGUGUUAAGCUUAGAAGUCGUUAGCCGGGAUUCUAAACAUGUUAGCAAGCUCCAGGCUGUGCUGGUGAUGCUCACACGAAGAUUAUGGCGUUUUUGUUGUGCCGCUUUUUCCUGUGUCUUCCCCUGCACUCGCUGGAUUACGAUGAGGCAAAUGAGUGGCGAAGGUGGCUGGGAAAUUCAGGGUGAUGGCAAGAAGAGUGUAAUAACAUUCUCAUGUGUUUCAAGUUCUCGUCUUCAGAAAAUUUUUUUUAUUAAUGUAUUUUAUUGUGUACUGUGUACGUAAUUCUGUUGCAGUUAUUAUAAUUAUAUUGUUUUUAUUUUAUAGUCAGUCAGUUGAGUUUACUUUAGACCAGUAAAGUAAAACUUGCGAAAGCAAUGACUUUAAAAGUUUACUUAUCAAGAAAAAAAAAGAGUUUCCUCCGCCAGUGACACAAGCGGGAUUCUGAAUUUCUCAGAAUAGGUGGUGCUUUACUUCAGCAUCAGUUUCCCCUUCCCAACUUUGCCAUAAAUUUGGAAAUGUUGAAGGUGACGCUUCCUGCUGAAAACGUUCAAGUUGGUGGGCUGAAAUGACACAGAAGGAGGCGGCAGUGUGCUGUUGCAGGGAGUAGACAAGGCAGUGGUUAGCUCACGGGAGAGUGUAGGGUGUGUGAAGUGUUGAAGCAAAGUGGCGGUCCCUGUCGGUGUGGUGGCGGUGCUGCUCGUCUUGCCAGAUGGUCAACUGGCUCUCUGGAGAAAAA